GCAAGUCGAGCGAGAAGGUUUCAAAUGAUUCUUCGGAUGAAUGAGAAACUGGAGAGCGGCGGACGGGUGAGUAACGCGUGGGUAACCUGCCCUAUGGAGGGGGAUAACGUUUAGAAAUGAACGCUAAUACCGCAUAAGCAGGCAGUGUCGCAUGACACAGCUUGAAAAACUCCGGUGCCAUAGGAUGGACCCGCGUAAGAUUAGCUAGUUGGUAAGGUAAUGGCUUACCAAGGCGACGAUCUUUAGCCGACCUGAGAGGGUGAUC
rnacentral:rRNA from 1 species